UGGAAGAUGUGUGUUUUUCUGAUGAGCUAAGUGUUGAUUCUAACCCAAAAAGGCUGAAAGUGUGAGGUUAGCUAAGUGUCGGGUGGAUAUUCAAGACUGCAGCGUGGGGACCGAAGUGGGCAGGAAGAUCACUGGCUGUGGCUGCAAAGUAAAGUUCACCCUCAGUUAUCCUCAGUGCAAUUGGCCACGGAAGUGAAUGAGUUUCCUUCCAGAAGGCCUCUGUUAACUUCAGGCCUGACUUGCAGGGGCGGAUGCUUCAGGCAAGGCGAGGGAUCACGGAUGAAGUCUACAGGCGUUGCUUGAACUGUGUCAAGUGGCCCCUGUCCAGGCCAGAAGUUAAGUUGGAAGAUGGUUAUCAAAUCUGGUACAGCUAUUUUUUGCUGAGCUGAGCAGAAAAGAGGGAUAUUUCUCUGUGGAUUUGGCUCAUGGUUCCACAAUGCUGUCUUUCAUCUGCAUCUUCCUAUGGGCUCAAGGGAAAAACAAAUCUUGCAGCACAAAGGAGCUGUCCUGGAGAGCUGACUUCAUUCGCCCGUGCCCCUGCAGAGCCUUCCACCUACGCUUUCCUACUUGGCCCUUUCCAGCAAUUCAGACAAGCACCCUCAUAAAGUGGUUGGGGCUGCCUGUAGGUUGUAGUUAAAAAUUUCCAGCAGAUUGAUUGCACAUCCUAUGAUAAACAACGGCCUCCUGUGAUAUCUUACAUUUGCAAGCGAGCGUGUGCAUGUGCGUGGAAAAAUAGCCUGGUUGUGCUGAGCAACGUUGCCAUGACCACCCAGGGCCACUUCUGCAGAAUUCUCUUUCCUGUGGCCGUCCCCGUUCAGGUCAGUGGAUAAACGACGCAUCAGGACAGCAUCUGGCCAGGUUGCUUUGCUGCGGAGCUUAAUGUGCAACUAGUGUUUUCCUCCUGUGUCAGCAGUGAGCCGCACAGUCUGGGAGUGCAGGAAGGGAAAAAAAGCUUAUAAUAAAGACACAAAUCUUCCCCCAUUUAAAGUUGAUUAAUUCUAUGGCUGAAGAACUUUCAGAUACAGAGUCCCAACUGUGCUGGUGCCCUGGAUGCCACAGAUCUGAGAAGCAAUGACAGAAGCACGUACUGGUAGCCCGUAUGUGUGUGCAUGCACGAAUAUGUGUACUUCAUGGCACUUGGUACAAACAGUGCUCUGAAGAGAUCCACCUGCUGGGACCCAGGUCGAUCACUCAGGAUGUGACUCUUCUGUUUUCUGUCUGUUAACAGAAAGUCCUUUUGGGGAAGAAUGAAUGGAGGCGAGGAAUGAAUACAUGAAGUAGCAUCCCAUUGAAGAGUUGCGAGAACUCAAAUAUUAUUUUGAGUAGACUAAAAACAAAGGUUCUGAAUGACUGUCUACAUCAUCUAAGCUAAAGACAGGUCUACCCUGAACUGUUUGUGACAGUUCUCAGAGUAUUGGAUUACAGGGGUCUCAGCCCACUGAUGUGAAAGCCACCUCAAAGGAGAGUAGGAUGCUGUCACCCCCACUCUGCUGGCACAAACACAGGAGCAGAGGACCUUGAGGAGGAAGUCCUGCCUGAAGGAGGACUGUGAUUGGAGGAACAGUGUGGACUGCUGGAGUCACGCUUUGAGAUCAUGCCCCAACCCCUGGGACCUGAUAUGCGUGGGACACUUCCUUCCCCCCAGUGGGAGCUGGAAUAGCUCUGAGUCAGCAUCCUGACUCUUGGCUCUUUUUACAUGAAACUGUGUGGAAGGAGCGAGCAGGUAGGCAUAGCAGCAGACUCUGGCCUGGAGCCACUAUAGUCUCAUGUACUGUGGGGGUCAGGCUAGAGAGUCAUGCUAUGUGAGAACAUGAGACAUCAAUCACCCGGCAAGACACUAGGGAAGAACCAUUUGCUAGACACCCAAAGAGCUGUGGGAACCCCCAAUCUAGCACCUGGGAAUGUAGUGUAUUAAAGGUUGGCUCUUACCAAUCUCCUGAGUUUUCAGUUUCGCCCGUCCCUGUUCAAGCAGGAGGACAGUCUCAGCCCAAUUGUAACGAAGUGCUGGGGACCUCGAAGUGCGAAGAAAAGACAUUAUUUCCCACAGUUUCGGAAACUAAACAUCUAAGGACCAGUGUGUCAGCACAGAUUAGUUCUGUGAGGGCCUCUUCUAUAUGGUAACCUGUCUAGCUGUGGCCCCACGUGGCGGAAAUGGAGUGGGCUCCUCCCCAUUUCCUCUCUUCCAGGACUCCUUUCGUAAGGACACUCACCUCAUUUAUUAGGGCCUCACCCUCAUGAUCUGAUCAUGCCCAAAGGCCUCAUCUUCCUCCCAUCACCUUGGGGGUUUGAUUCUCAAUACAGGCAUUUGGAAGACACUCUCAAAUUCAACCCACAGCAGAAGGGACACCAAUGGUCACAUCUGGGAGACACAUCUCUGCCACAUCACUCGUUUCACAGAAACUGGCUGCUGAGCUGAGUGACUGUCUAGGACUAUCCUGUUCAUCUUGAGACAAUGCUGACCACUGCCAACACAGGAGGCUUUCACGGUCCAGGGGAAGGUGAUGCUGUUUCUGAUGGAAGUUUUGAUAUAAGAGAACCUGGCUUCAGGCACUUCCGGGCCUUGAGGGUUUGUCUGCUGAGGAUGCGUGGGUGGCAGUACCCGGGACACAGACUAGGACACCGCCCAAGUCUGCAGACCUGACAUAAUGGGAGGGAAGCCUUUUCCAGAGCUGGCACCAUCUUCUUCAACUUGCAACACUGUGUGAAAUAAACUUUUUCUUUUUUAAAAAAUAAA